rnacentral:misc_RNA from 1 species
CUGUUCGAGCGUCAUUACAACCCUCAAGCUCAGCUUGGUAUUGGGGCGUGCCGGUAGACGGCAGCUCUUAAAAUCAGUGGCGGUGCUGUCAGGCCCUAAGCGUAGUAAUCUUUCUCGCUACAGGGUCCUGGAAGCAGUAGCAUCAACCCCCACUUUCUAUGGUUGACCUCGGAUCAGGUAGGGAUACCCGCUGAACUUAA